rnacentral:rRNA from 1 species
CCUACGGGAGGCUGCAGUGGGGAAUAUUGGACAAUGGGGGGAACCCUGAUCCAGCCAUGCCGCGUGUGUGAAGAAGGCCCUCGGGUUGUAAAGCACUUUCAGUGAGGAAGAACGCCUGGUGGUUAAUACCCAUCAGGAAAGACAUCACUCACAGAAGAAGCACCGGCUAACUCCGUGCCAGCAGCCGCGGUAAUACGGAGGGUGCGAGCGUUAAUCGGAAUUACUGGGCGUAAAGCGCGCGUAGGUGGCUUGAUAAGCCGGUUGUGAAAGCCCCGGGCUCAACCUGGGAACGGCAUCCGGAACUGUCAAGCUAGAGUGCAGGAGAGGAAGGUAGAAUUCCCGGUGUAGCGGUGAAAUGCGUAGAGAUCGAGAGGAAUACCAGUGGCGAAGGCGGCCUUCUGGACUGACACUGACACUGAGGUGCGAAAGCGUGGGUAGCAAACAGGAUUAGAUACCCUUGUAGUC